rnacentral:lncRNA from 1 species
AUGGGGAUUUUGGGGUAAGAGUCUGGGUUUUAGGGUCUUGAAUUGGGUGUGGGGGCAUUGAGUUGGGGUUUGGGGUUAGAAAUGGGGAUUUUGGGGUAAGAAGUUUGGGUUUUGGGGUCUGGAGUUGGGGGGGGCGGGAAUUGGGGUCUGGGGUGCAGGAGUUUGGGGUUUGGGGUUAGAAAUGGGGAUUUUGGGGUAAGAAGACUUGAGUUUUGGGGUCUGGAGGAGGUGGGGGCAAGAAUUGGGGUCUGGGUGCACUGAGUUGGGGUUUGGGGUUAAAAGUAGGGAUUUUGGGGUCAGAAGUUUGAGUUUUAGGAUCUUUGAGUUGGAACUUGGGGCCAUGAGUUGGGGUUUGGGGGCUGGCAUUGGGGUUUGGGGAUAAAAAUGGGGAUUUUGGGUUAAGGAGAGUGAGUUUUGGGGUCUGGAGUUGGGUGUGGGGGCUGUGAGUUGGGUUUUGGGGUUGGCAAUAGGGAUUUUGGGGUAAGAGUCUGGGUUUUAGGGUCUUGAGUUGGGUGUGGGGGCCGUGAGUUGGGGUUUGGGGUCUGGCAUUGGGGUUUUGGGGUUGAGCAUUGGGGUUUUGGGGGUUAUGAAUGGAGAUUCUGGGGUAAGAAGUUCGGGUUUUGGGGUCCGGGGCCCUUGAUUUGGGGUUUGAGGUUGUAAAUACGGGUUUGGGGGUAAUUGCUUUUUGGGGUUCCCCAUUGCGGUUCCAUUUUGGGAUUCCCCAUUACUGUUGUGUGUUGGGGUUCCCCAUUGGGGUUCCAUUGUAGGGUUCCCCGUUGGGAUUCCCCAUUGAGGUUGGGGUUCCCCAUUAGGGUUCCCCAUUGGGAUCCCCCAUUGAGGUUGGGGUUCCCCAUUGGGGUUCUGUGUUGGGGUUCCCCAUUGGGGUUCUGUGUUGGGGUUCCCUACUGGGGUUCCAUUUUAGGGUUCCCCAUUGGGGUUCCAUUUUAGGGUUCCCCAUUGAGGU